AUCAGGACGCCAGGCACCAACUCAUUUUGCCACUCUGGACAAAGUCGCAAGGAGAAAAAAUAUACACACGCUCUCCCAAUUCUCAAGAAACUUUAAAUAUGAAGCUCUUAUUAUUCAUUUGGCUUGAGUGGAAUUUAUUUUAUCUUUAUUUGAUAUAAUUUGGCUUGGUAUCUUUUGGCAAGCUGUUCAGCUAUAAAUAGAAGCUAUUUUAGUGACACUUUGUACUAUGUGGGUAAGCAAGGAAAAAAUCAUUUGAAUACGAAAAAGGUUAAAGUGCUAUGUACAAGAG